rnacentral:lncRNA from 1 species
UUGAAUCCCAUCUCCUCUCUGAUUCUCUCUAAGACUAAAACCUAACCCUAGUCGCCUCCCUCCGAUUACCACUCAGAACCGCAUGAAUCCAUGGCUUCCAAAGCCAUUGAAGGCAUGUACCUGCCUCAUAUAGCUCCUGCAUGCUCGUCAUUUGAAGGAUCGUGGCCAAACCUCGAGGGUCUUCACUUAGACCUUCAUCUAUUUGAAGAUUCUGGCCAUCUCCGGCCUUUGCUGCGGGGGCUCUUGGUCUUUUGAGCCUGAUUGUGAUAUCCUCUGGCUUAGAUCGUGACUUUUCCAGGCUUUCUCGCUUCUAGGGUUCUUCUGAGACCCUAGCCCUUCAAGGUUC